CACGUAGGGCGCGAGCGUUGUCCGGAAUUAUUGGGCGUAAAGAGCUCGUAGGCGGCCUGUGCGUCCGCUGUGAAAGCCCGGGGCUUAACCCCGGGUCGGCAGUGGAUACGGGCAGGCUAGAGGUAGGUAGGGGAGAAUGGAAUUCCCGGUGUAGCGGUGAAAUGCGCAGAUAUCGGGAGGAACACCGGUGGCGAAGGCGGGUCUCUGGGCAGUAACUGACGCUGAGGAGCGAAAGCGUGGGGAGCGAACAGG
rnacentral:rRNA from 1 species